UAGGUGAUGGUUUUGUUACAAUUACUAGAGGGGAAAGUAUCAGAAGGUUUUUUGAACAUGCCGAAGAGGCUGAGGAAGACGAGGAUGAUGAUUCCAUGGACAGGGAUGGAAAUGAGCUGGAUGGAGAAUGCUCCCGUCCCCAAAAGCAUGCGAAGAGUCCUGAACUUGCUCGAGAAUUUCUUCUAGAUGCUGCAACAGUUAUUUUCAAGGAGCAGGUUGAAAAGGCUUUCAGAGAAGGAACUGCACGCCAAAAUGCACAUAGCAUCUUUGUUUGUCUUGCAUUAAAACUGCUGGAAGAGCGAGUUCAUGUUGCAUGCAAAGAAAUUAUCACAUUGGAAAAGCAGAUGAAACUUCUUGAAGAAGAGGAAAAGGAAAAGCGUGAAGAAGAAGAACGCAAGGAGAGAAGAAGAGCUAAAGAAAGAGAGAAAAAGCUUCGAAGAAAGGAGAGGUUAAAGGGGAAGGAAAGGGAUAAAGAAAAGAAGUGCUCUGAAUCAAAUGAUUCUCUUGAAAUCUCAAAGGCUGAAACAUCAGCAAUCGCUGACGAGGAACCUAAUAAUGAUGUCAGCUGUAAGGAUUCAGUUAGUGAAACUGGUGACGUUUCAUUAUCCAGGCG
rnacentral:misc_RNA from 1 species